rnacentral:rRNA from 1 species
GAUGAACGCUGGCGGCGUGCCUAAUACAUGCAAGUCGAGCGAACAGACGAGGAGCUUGCUCCUCUGACGUUAGCGGCGGACGGGUGAGUAACACGUGGAUAACCUACCUAUAAGACUGGGAUAACUUCGGGAAACCGGAGCUAAUACCGGAUAAUAUAUUGAACCGCAUGGUUCAAUAGUGAAAGACGGUUUUGCUGUCACUUAUAGAUGGAUCCGCGCCGCAUUAGCUAGUUGGUAAGGUAACGGCUUACCAAGGCAACGAUGCGUAGCCGACCUGAGAGGGUGAUCGGCCACCCUGGAACUGAGACACGGUCCAGACUCCUACGGGAGGCCGCAGUAGGGAAUCUUCCGCAAUGGGCGAAAGCUUGACGGAGCAACGCCGCGUGAGUGAUGAAGGUCUUCGGAUCGUAAAACUCUGUUAUUAGGGAAGAACAAAUGUGUAAGUAACUAUGCACGUCUUGACGGUACCUAAUCAGAAAGCCACGGCUAACUACGUG